rnacentral:rRNA from 1 species
UACGUAGGUCGCAAGCGUUGUCCGGAUUUACUGGGCGUAAAGAGCGCGCAGGCGGCUGGUCAAGUCCGAUGUGAAAUCUCCCGGCUCAACUGGGAAACAGCAUCGGAAACUGAUCGGCUUGAAGAUGGGAGAGGGUAGUGGAAUUCCCGGUGUAGUGGUGAAAUGCGUAGAUAUCGGGAGGAACACCAGUGGCGAAGGCGACUACCUGGCCCAUUCUUGACGCUGAGGCGCGAAAGCUAGGGGAGCGAACGGG